CAAUCUACUGAGGUAGCCGUACGAAUCUUGUAGCGAGCAGACAUAAAAAAUCAGUUCGUUACAGUUGUUAAGAGGGACGUGAUGGAAAGACGUAUAAAAAUUAAAACUGAGGGCAGAGAAACCAAACUCCUCUCUUAAAAUUAACGGUAAAUUAUCGAAGUGAGCUGCGCCUCUGUGUUGUUGCAAAUUGUCUUCGUUAUUGUGCAAAGUGAGCGGUUAAGUUGAUGUUCAAUAGAAAGUGACGAAAGUUUGGAGGACCUGCUCCGCGAGUGCAACUUAAUAAAGGCCCUUCGCCAACUACAACUUCAUUAUGGAGGACAACGUUUCUAUGCAGAAGCUGAUCAAAUUUGUUAAGGAAACCAAUUUGGACGAAGGAUGUCUAACAAAAUUAACAGAAUUAAAUAAAAUCGAUGUAUUUACUGGCCCGCCUAUCCACGUACACCUGGUCGACGGCAGCAAAUUUAUUAGAUUUAAAAUAUUAUAAAAUAAACAUAUUUUAUUUAAA